rnacentral:tRNA from 1 species
GUAAACCACUUAAGUGUUAUCCUAUUGCACAUCGGGUUUUCAAACCGAAAGAGCUAACAAAGCAACUGGUC